rnacentral:lncRNA from 1 species
UGUCUGUGUGCACUGAUGCACGCUGCAUUAUUUUUAAUAAUGUUGUGUGCUAUUUUAACGCGUACAUAGAAUAUGACGCGUAUAAACAUUUACUCCUGAGCCGGAAUUUCCCUAUACAACCAAAAAGGCCGCUCCUGUUUUUCAGUAGAACGUUAAAUGAAAACUUCUCGACAUUCGCUGAUAUAAUGCAGAGAGAAAACAAUAGGUUUGAUGAGGGCCAGUAAUUAUUAUCAAUAAAAUAUUAAAACGGAGCUUUGAUUAACUGAUUCACCAUUUAUACUAGUGAACUGUUAAACUAUCGUGAUUUACACAAUUUUUGGAUAUUUACCAGACGAACCCCUAUCCACCGACCCGAGGUUAACGCCGAGUCGGCGUCUUGUAUGUUAUUAACAACAACAAUGGCAAAAGCGACAAACGACAAUAACAACAACGACAACAACUCUAAGACUACAAAACGAACAUAUAGUACAAUACAAACGAUUCAAAACGAUACUAAUUAGCUACAUUAAGUGACUUAAUUGAAGGCAUGGCAAGUGUUUUGAAACUUGGGGUUGAUAACAGACAUAUCAAAAGUUCAAAGUCGUGGAUAUAUUCACGUACGGUUGAUCGAUUCAAGAACAAUUGUUUUAAAAUUAUUGAAAAGCUUUAUACCAUCUAGAUACAAGAGCGUGUGUUGCUUUUGAAUCGAUUGAUUCGCAUUUCUUUUAGUUGACAAAACGUUCCAUAUUAAUAUUUGACUAAUUUGAGUUUGAAUUUCGCAAUAUUUUUUAAAAUUUGUUAUUGUCAUUCAAAUUAUUAACCGUUAAUUCGAUUAAAAGGUCAUGGAAGAUGAUAGGUCAAUUUUCCUUCAAGUUCCGUUCUACUUCCGGUUACAAUGUCGAAUUUACUUCCGUCACCAGCUGUUGCGGUGCACAUUGAACGAAAGAUUUUCGGCGUUUCAUCCCUUUCUUAUUUAUGUACGGGUUACACCCUCGGCAUCCUUUCGUAAGAUGUUCGGAAAUAGUCGUUGCAAUGCAAUAUGUUUGAAUUACAUGAAGUAGAAGGCAUGAUAUUAUCGAAAAAAUAAAAAUCAGCUAAUUUUGAUCCUUUUAUGACUAUGUCUGCGGAUUGUUGUGAUAUAAAUAUGGGAUAUUCGUUGAUGACAAGGUAUUUAUAGAACACAAUCGUACUUUUCUGCCCCCUGUGUAUACGUGCGUAAAAUAGCGUGUGCAUGUUUUAAAUAUUUUGUUUCGUAUUUUAUAGGAUGUUCUGGAGGCUACAACCUCAACCUUUAUCCUCAAUUAGAAAGUUUUGUUUCUACCACGUUUACGAGAAUCAUCCUCCUCCCCCCCCUCCCCCGCCAACCCCGCACAAAUAGUAUUAGGCCAAAUGAAAAAAAAUACUUGGUUAGCGUCAACGCCCGCAUUUUUUUUGUUAUGUAAAUCUCUUCGCUUUACAGUUUAAAACAGUUUAAUAUUUGAAUUUAUUCUCAUUUUUUCGCGCUAUAUACUGAUCGAUAGUAGCGCAUGGGCUUGGGUAUUAUCAGCACAAAAAUAUCACCGAUAUGGCGGAAAAAUUGCCCCCAUCUCCCCCAAAAAUACUGUUAAAAAACGAGUAAAAAUUUUAAAAAACGCCCUCCCGCCUCUGAACAUUUGUGAGAGUGUGACGCUAACCAAGUAUUUUUUUUAUUUGGCCUUAGAUGCGGCAGGUUAUUUCAAUCAUUCCAUCUUCUAGGUGAUAUGGUUCACAUAUUAGGCCUUUUUAUUUUUCUCUAGUUUUUAUAGAUACAAGGCCUGGAGUCCAUAAUCAAACAAAAACGUUAUAGAGAUAUUUGUGCAUUAACAACUGAAGUGUGCGACGGCGUGAAUAUUCGUAUCGUGCAGGGGCCGCGGAAAGUGAAAAGUGCCGUUUUUCUGGGCUAAAGUGGCCAUAUAAAGAACGAAAAAAGAAUUUCUUGACUGAAUGCCCUCUUUUGCUGGAAAGAAAGUGCCCUUUUCGCAGUAUUAAAGACUCUGUAAAGGCCAUAUCCGAAGUUAUAGAGACUCCAUAUUUUCAAAAAUUUUCGUUCGGCUCAUGAACGACAUAAAAUCGAUUAAUUUUGGUUAUACAGCUUUUUUAUAUUAAAUUAGCUUUUUUAUAAAUUAGCUUCUUUAUAAAUUUGGUUAUACAGCUAUUUUGUUAAUUAUACAGCUAGAAAAUUAAUAAUUGUUUUAGUCAUUCCCGGCAGCCUUUCACGCUUGUAUUCCACUUUUAUGCAGUAAUGUAGGAAGAUGUUCUGUGAUUGGUUGAUUAUGACAAUGACAAACAAAGCAAGA